GGGAGCCGUAUGAAUCGAGAGGUUCACGUACGGUUCUGCGAGGGGGCUGGCGGGGAAGGUCCGCUGGUCUACUUUCC
rnacentral:ncRNA from 2 species